AGCGGAGGAAAAGAAACUAACAAGGAUUCCCUUAGUAACGGCGAGUGAAGCGGGAAGAGCUCAAAUUUGAAAUCUUCAAGGUUUUACCUUGACGAAUUGUAGUUUAAAGAAGUGUUUUCUGUUGGAGUUUCGGUAAAAGUUCUUUGGAAUAGGACAUCAUAGAGGGUGAGAAUCCCGUAUUUGACCAUUAUUUUCAGCUGUGUGAUACACUUUCAAAGAGUCGGAUUGUUUGGGAAUGCAGUCCAAAAUGGGUGGUAAAUUUCAUCUAAAGCUAAAUAUUGGCGAGAGACCGAUAGCGAACAAGUACCGUGAGGGAAAGAUGAAAAGAACUUUGAAAAGAGAGUUAAACAGUACGUGAAAUUGUCAAAAGGGAAGCGUUUGACACCAGUGUUGUUUUNUCGAAAAUCAAUUAAAAAUGGCUUGAUUUUGUGUUGUAUUGACCUUAUCAGCUUUCUUCACUUUUUUCAUGUCUUUUUUAAUGCACUUUUCGUUUAACAAGUCAACAUCAAUUUCUUUUGUUGUAAAAGAGUCAUUGGAAGGUGGCUUUCUUUUCGGAGAAAGUGUUUAUAGCCUUUGACUUCUGCAAUCGGAGAGACUGAGGUCUGCAGCGUAGAUCC
rnacentral:rRNA from 1 species